GGACACACCCGUACCCAUUUCGAACACGGUCGUUAAGCCCUUCUGCGCCGAUGGUACUGCACUGGAGACGGUGUGGGAGAGUAGGGCAUCGCCGGGA
rnacentral:rRNA from 1 species